AUUGAACGCUGGCGGCAGGCUUAACACAUGCAAGUCGAGCGAGUGGCGGACGGGUGAGUAAUGUCUGGGAAACUGCCUGAUGGAGGGGGAUAACUACUGGAAACGGUAGCUAAUACCGCAUACCAUCAGAUGUGCCCAGAUGGGAUUAGCUAGUAGGGGGGGUAAUGGCUCACCUAGGCGACGAUCCCUAGCUGGUCUGAGAGGAUGACCAGCAACACGGGAACUGAGAAAAGGUCCAGACUCCUACGGGAGGCAGCAGUGGGGAACAUUGGACAAUGGGCGCAAGCCUGAUGCAGCCAUGCGGCGUGUGUGAAGAAGGCUUUCGGGUUGUAAAGCACUUUCAGCGGGGAGGCGUUACUCGCAGAGGAAGCACCGGCUAACUCCGUGCCAGCAGCCGCGGUAAUAC
rnacentral:rRNA from 1 species